rnacentral:rRNA from 4 species
UACGUAGGGGGCUAGCGUUAUCCGGAUUUACUGGGCGUAAAGGGUGCGUAGGUGGUUUCUUAAGUCAGGAGUGAAAGGCUACGGCUCAACCGUAGUAAGCUCUUGAAACUGGGAAACUUGAGUGCAGGAGAGGAAAGUGGAAUUCCUAGUGUAGCGGUGAAAUGCGUAGAUAUUAGGAGGAACACCAGUAGCGAAGGCGGCUUUCUGGACUGUAACUGACACUGAGGCACGAAAGCGUGGGGAGCAAACAGG